UACGUAGGGUGCAAGCGUUGUCCGGAAUUAUUGGGCGUAAAGAACUCGUAGGCGGUCUGUCACGUCGGCUGUGAAAUCCCGAGGCUCAACCUCGGGUCUGCAGUCGAUACGGGCAAACUAGAGUAUUGCAGGGGAGACUGGAAUUCCUGGUGUAGCGGUGAAAUGCGCAGAUAUCAGGAGGAACACCGGUGGCGAAGGCGGGUCUCUGGGCAAUAACUGACGCUGAGGAGCGAAAGCGUGGGGAGCAAACAGG
rnacentral:rRNA from 1 species